rnacentral:rRNA from 1 species
UACGGAGGGGACUAGCGUUGUUCGGAAUUACUGGGCGUAAAGCGCACGUAGGCGGAUUUGUAAGUCAGGGGUGAAAUCCCGAGGCUCAACCUCGGAACUGCCUUUGAUACUGCAAAUCUCGAGUCCGGAAGAGGUGAGUGGAAUUCCUAGUGUAGAGGUGAAAUUCGUAGAUAUUAGGAAGAACACCAGUGGCGAAGGCGGCUUACUGGUCCGGAACUGACGCUGAGGUGCGAAAGCGUGGGGAGCAAACAGGG